UUUCUUUUCUUUUCUUUUUUUUUUUUAAUUAUAAGCAAAGGUCCGUAAAGUAUCAAAAAAUGGUCCUUUCUAUUUGGGACACCAUGUGACACAUCAUAAACCAAUCACAAAUCAUCAUGCCUUCUGUUGUUCCUUAUCACCUAACAAAAAAAUCAUGGGUUCUACCUUCUCUACUAAGCCAUGCAAUAACACGUGGCUGUGCCGUUGAGACACGAGACAACUGUUCUAAAAUAUCCGUAAAUUGUUUGGACUAUCUUAAUGUGUCAUUGAAAUGAAAAUCAAUGGUUGGACCUAGGAUGAAACCUCUUACCUCACAAGCUAUAUCAAAAAGAAAUUGCAUAGUAAAAAAAUUACAUGUGUGAAUGUUUUUAUACACAGGAAAACAUAAUAGAUUUGUAUUAUACACAGUUUGUUAUCCUUGCUAUUCAAGAUUUUAGCAUUCCUAUGCGUAAAUAGUCUGCGUUGCCUCUUAGCUUUUGUCGCCAAUAGUUUGUUUGGAUUUUAUUGAGUGUCAACUCUUUUUUGGUUAGUGCUUUGAUUGGUUAUUGUUUGGAUGCAAUAUAGGACUGCUCUAAAUCAUAAAAACAAGGCGCCUGAUUUGUGCAAAUUGGUCAUCUGGUCAUAUUAAAUUAGAACAUAUUUAAUAGAAGCUGUGUUUGGAUUUUUAGGUGUUUGGACAACUGGAUUAUGGAUUUUAUCAAUUGCAUAUAACUAAAAACACCCUUGAAUAAAAUAUGAAUGAAAGCUAAGAGUUUUUUUUUUUGGCCCUUCCCUUGAAUAAAAUUUUUUCCUUUAAAUAUUUAGUUAUACUUGAGACUUCAGCUCAUUUCCCUCUUUUGUAUGUAUGGGAUUACAAGAUAUUCUUUUGUUCCUGUGAUUACAAGAUAUCUUUUCUUCUUUUUUUUCCUCCUGUUUUUAUGUGAAGGGCUACCUUUUUUUUUUUCUUUUUUUUUCCUAUUUCUUAGUCUCAGAGAAUGUUAAGAAGUUGAGAUAUUCAAAAUUGAAAUUGAAACUCUCACACUCAGAUUUUAGUUGGUUUUCCUGAAGGGAAAGCAUUAAUUGCUAUAAUUGAGAAGACACAGUGGUAAUGAACCCAUGCUGAUCGGCUUUCCAAUUGAUACAUUUGUUAAGCUUACUCAUUUACGUUGUUAUUUUUUCUCAUUUGACAAUGCCAUUAUCUAUUAAAAAGAGAAACCCUUGUGUGAUAGUGUUUGUCCACUAUCAAUACACCAUUACAACAGUUCAAUUUUGCAGACAAGUGGAAUGAGAUCAACUGAGGACACUAAGCUAGGAUAAGUUCUAUGGUAAUUUCUACAAAUACACCAUUGUUGAGGAAUUUUAAUCUCUACUUUGUUCAUUCUAUUUCAUGUGAUAUUUGUUAUCUCUACUUUGUUCGUUGUUAUUUAUUUAUUUGUUAUUUCUUCACAAUAGUAUGGAGUCACUUGCUUGAAGUCAAUUUAAUUUUUAUUUUUAUUUUUUUUAGAUUGCUUAGCACUGGCUGGUGUGCAUUGUUUACUAUUUAUUUUAAAUUUAGUUUUUUGGUAUUGUAGAGCCAUGGCUGGUGUGCAUUGUUUGUUAUAUAUAUUUUGAAUUCUAUUUUUCUAGAUUGCAGAGCACUUGCUGGUGUGCUUCAUUUGGUGUUUAAUAAUUUUUUGGUAUUGCAAAGCACUGGUUGAUGUGCAUUGUUUAUUGUUUAUUUUUAAUUUCUAAAUGGCUGGUAUUAUUUGGUAACGAGUGAAUAAUGAAACAAAUAUAUAUACCUGUGCUUAGGGGUUGUUAUCUUUAAUUGAGCUUUGUAGAGCGUGUGGUACCAACAAAAUUGCAGAGUGUGGGUUUUAAAAACAAUAUUUCUUUAUAUUUCUCAAUGUCUUAAGUUUUUUGUAUGUUUUUCAAUAAAUUACAUUUGUAUUCAACUACAUUUUGAUCUCAAUAUUAUUUAUAUCGUGUCAUUAUGCACCAGCAUACUUUUUAUUUUGUACUUUACAUACCUCUUAUUCUUCCCUUUGUAUUUUGUUUAUGUACCUGCUCUUCUCAUCUUCAUUGUAACCCUCUCUUUGAAAUUAAUUUUUAUAUUUUAUUAUCCGAUUUGCUACUAAAAUUGUUAUAAGUUGUUUAAGAAUAAUAAUAUUUCUUUAUAUUUUUUUAGUGUCUUUAUCAAAAAAUCAAAAAAUGAUACAAACUCUAAAGUAGGUUGUAUGUUAUAAGUAUGUUAGGAGGUUAUUAAUUUUGUGUCGAUUAAUUUUUUUUAUGGCAAUUAUUAAACCUCAUUUUGCCUUCUUGCAGUUAUCUUUUUCAAAUUGACAUAACUAGACAUUUUCAGGUUGAGACACUCUUGACCUUUAACUUCUAAUUAUGGACAACAUUACUAUUUUUGGUCACAUGGAUGGAGACCUACGUCAAACUGUUCAAUUUCUUGAAGAAAGAAAUGCUAAUGUUGUCAUCCGUGAUAAGCAUGACCUUAAUGUCAUCCGGGUUCGAGAGUGUUUAGUCAUGGACAACUGUACGUGGCCCUAUCUAGAUGCACAUCUUUUGAUCGUACAAGUGUCUUCCUUCCCAACGAUGAGCUAGAUUCUACUACAAAUAUUAUUUAUCUUGAAAUUUUGUUAUAGUGUUACUUAUGGAUCAAAUCACUUUUGUCAAAAGGAUUGGGUUAAAAAAUAUAUGGACCUCAAAAAGAUAAAUACAAUUAGAUUGCUUUGACAGGGAUGUAACAAGAUUGUCGCGCAUACUUCUCAUUGGAGAUAUAUAGAAGUUGAAACAAAUACUUUUUGGAAAGUGAUGAGGCGCUCUUAGGAAUUCUAAGAAAGAACAAGUUUGAAGAUCAUAUUUAUUUUUGUAAAAAGCGUACAUAUGCUAGCUACGAUCUAGAUUUUGUAAAGUUUCAUAUCGAUGUAAAUUUUAGUUUCGUAAAGCCUUUUAUCUAUGUGCAAUUUAUAAAUAAGUUCAGAUGUAUAUUAUAUAAUAUUUAUUUGAAUUA